rnacentral:rRNA from 1 species
AUAAGAGCGCAGGGUGAAUGCCUUGGCACCAAGAGCCGACGAAGGACGUGGUUAACUGCGAAAAGCCAUGGGGAGCCGUAAGCAGGCUUUGAUCCAUGGAUAUCCGAAUGGGGAAACCCGGUACGAGCAAUCGUAUCACCGUUGCAUGAAUACAUAGUGCAACGGAGGGAACCCGGUGAACUGAAACAUCUAAGUAGCCGGAGGAAGAGAAAGAAACAUCGAUUUUCUUAGUAGCGGCGAGCGAACGGGAAAGAGCCCAAACCCUGGAUCUACGGAUCUGGGGGGUUCGGACCGGCGGAAUCACAGACACAGCGAGAAGAAGGUUGUUGGAAAGCAGCACGAAACAGGGUAACAGUCCCGUAAUCGAAGUUGUGGACGUGAGGCCGGUAUCCAGAGUACCACAGGACACGAGGAAUCCGGUGGGAAGACGGGGGGACCACCCCCCAAGGCUAAAUACUACUUGGUGACCGAUAGAGAACAGUACCGUGAGGGAAAGGUGAAAAGAACCCCGGGAGGGGAGUGAAAGAGUACCUGAAACCCUGUGUUUACAAGCAGAGGGAGCGGAAGCGACCUCGUACUUUUUGUAGAACGGGCCUGCGAGUUACUGUGUGUAGCGAGGUUAAGUCGUAGAGCGACGGAGCCGUAGGGAAACCGAGUCUCAAAUGGGCGUUGAGUUGCACUGUUGAAAAAUGCGGGGAUGAGCUGUGGAUAGCGGAGAAAUUCCAAUCGAACUCGGAGAUAGCUGGUUCUCCCCGAAAUAGCUUUAGGGCUAGCCUCGUAGGAAAGAUUACCGGGGGUAGAGCACUGAAUGGGUAAGGGGGCCACAAAGCUUACCAAGCCCUAUCAAACUCCGAAUACCGGAUAAUUGAUAUACGGGAGUCACACGGCGGGAGAUAAGUUUCGUCGUGGAAAGGGAAACAGCCCAGAUCAACGACUAAGGUCCCUAAGUAACGGUUAAGUGGGAAAGGAUGUGCAACUGCACAAACAACCAGGAUGUUGGCUUAGAAGCAGCCACACAUUUAAAGAGUGCGUAAUAGCUCACUGGUCGAGUGGUCGUGCGCCGAUAAUGUACCGGGGCUAAACCGUACACCGAAGUCUUGGGAUCGCAAAUGCGAUCGGUAGGGGAGCAACGAAUACGGACUGAAGCGUAAGCGCAAGCGAGCGUGGACUGUAUUGGAGAGAGAAUGCAGGCAUAAGUAGCGAGAGCGAAGUGAGAAUCUUUGCCGUCGAAAGCCUAAGGUUUCCUGAGGAAGGUUCGUCCUCUCAGGGUAAGUCGGGGCCUAAGCCGAGGACAGCAGUCGUAGGCGAUGGACAUCAGGUUGAUAUUCCUGAACCACUUACAAUUGUUUGACAGAGGCAGUGACACAGAAGGAUAGGCAAGUCGGGGAAUGGUAUCCCGGUGAAAGCAGUGAGGCUGGUAUGUAGUGAAGUACGCAUACUAAGGCUGGGCUGCGAGAGCUACGAAAACAAGUAGGAAGCUUGCUGAAUUCACGCUGGCGAGAAAAGCUGCUAUGGAGAUUGUGAGUGCCCGUACCGCAAACCGACACAGGUGGGCGAGGAGAGAAUCCUAAGACGAACGGGAGAACCCUUGUUAAGGAACUCGGCAAAAUGACCCUGUAACUUCGGGAUAAAGGGAGCCCAGCAAUGGGCCGCAGAGAAUAGGCACAAGCGACUGUUUAUCAAAAACACAGGUCUGUGCGAAGUAGAGAUACGACGUAUACGGGCUGACUCCUGCCCAGUGCCGGAAGGUUAAGGGGAAGUGUUAGGGCAACCGAAGCACGGAACUUAAGCCCCGGUGAACGGCGGCCGUAACUAUAACGGUCCUAAGGUAGCGAAAUUCCUUGUCGGGUAAGUUCCGACCCGCACGAAUGGAGUAACGACUUGUGCACUGUCUCAACAAGGGACCCGGCGAAAUUGUAGUAUGUGUGAAGAUGCACAUUACCCGCGAUAGGACGGAAAGACCCCGUAGAGCUUUACUGUAGUUUGGCAUUGAAUUUUGGUAACGAAUGCACAGCAUAGGUGGGAGGCUAUGAAGCAGAGACUUUGGUUUCUGUGGAGCCGCCGUUGGGAUACCACUCUUUUGUUACUGGAGUUCUAACGGACGGCCGUGACCCGGCGUCCGGACAUUGCCAGAUGGGCAGUUUGACUGGGGCGGUCGCCUCCGAAAGAGUAACGGAGGCGUUCAAAGGUUCCCUCAGAAUGGUUGGAAACCAUUCGCAGAGUGCAAAGGCAGAAGGGAGCCCGACUGCGAGACGGACACGUCGAGCAGGGAGGAAACUCGGACUUAGUGAUCCGGCGGUAUGAGAGUGGAAUUGCCGUCGCUCAACGGAAGGUCCCAAGGGUUUGGCUGUUCGCCAAUUAAAGCGGCACGCGAGCUGGGUUCAGAACGUCGUGAGACAGUUCGGUCCCUAUCCAUCGUGGGCGCAGGAGAUUUGAAGGGUGCUGUCCCUAGUACGAGAGGACCAGGAUGGACGCACCAAGGGUGUAUCAGUUGUCGCGCCAGCGGCAUAGCUGGGUAGCCAUGUGCGGAACGGAUAAACGCUGAAGGCAUCUAAGCGUGAAGCCGACCCUAAGAUAAGAUCUCCCACUCAUUAUGAGGUAAGACCCCUGGAAGACUACCAGGUUGAUAGGUCGGAGGUGUAAGCGCAGUAAUGCGUUAAGCUGACCGAUACUAAUAGGUCGAGGGCUUGUUCA